AGGAAUUGACGGGGGCCCGCACAAGCAGCGGAGCGUGUGGUUUAAUUCGAUGCUACACGAAGAACCUUACCCGGGUUUGACAUACAGGUGGUAGGGAUCCGAAAGGUGACCGACCCGCAAGGGAGCCUGAACAGGUGUUGCAUGGCUGUCGUCAGCUCGUGUCGUGAGAUGUUCGGUUAAGUCCGCUAACGAGCGCAACCCUCGCCGCGUGUUACAAGUGUCACGCGGGACCGCCGGUAUCAAGCCGGAGGAAGGUGGGGAUGACGUCAAGUCAGCAUGGCCUUUAUAUCCGGGGCUACACACACGCUACAAUGGCCGGUACAAUGGGGUUGCUAAGCCGGGAGCUAAGCCGCGAGGCGGAGCCAAUCCCCCAAAGCCGGUCUCAGUUCAGAU
rnacentral:rRNA from 1 species